AGACUUUGAUUAUGGCUCAGAUUGAACGCUGGCGGCAGGCCUAACACAUGCAAGUCGAGCGGCAGCGGGUCCUUCGGGAUGCCGGCGAGCGGCGGACGGGUGAGUAAUGCCUAGGAAUCUGCCUGGUAGUGGGGGAUAACUCGGGGAAACUCGAGCUAAUACCGCAUACGUCCUACGGGAGAAAGCGGGGGAUCUUCGGACCUCGCGCUACCAGAUGAGCCUAGGUCGGAUUAGCUAGUUGGUGAGGUAAAGGCUCACCAAGGCGACGAUCCGUAGCUGGNCUGAGAGGAUGAUCAGCCACACUGGAACUGAGACACGGUCCAGACUCCUACGGGAGGCAGCAGUGGGGAAUAUUGGACAAUGGGCGAAAGCCUGAUCCAGCCAUGCCGCGUGUGUGAAGAAGGUCUUCGGAUUGGUAAGCACUUUUAAGUUGG
rnacentral:rRNA from 1 species